CAAGUCGAACGCGUCCGCAAGGACGAGUGGCGCACGGGUGAGUAACGCGUGGAUACCUACCCAAGAGCACGGAAUAACCCAGGGAAACCUCGGCUAAUACCGUAUAUCACCCCAAGGGGGAAAGACGAAAGUCGCUCCAGGACGGGUCCGCGUCGGAUUAGGCUGUUGGUGCAGGUAACGGCUCACCAAACCUACAAUCCGUAGCUGGUUCGAGAGGACGACCAGCCACACUGGGACUGAGACACGGCCCAGACUCCUACGGGAGGCAGCAGUGAGGAAUCUUGGACAAUGGACGAAAGUCUGAUCCAGCCAUGUCGCGUGAGUGAAGAGGGCCCUAGGGUUGUAAAGCUCUUUCAGCGGGGAUGAUCAUGACAGUACCCGCACAAGAAGCCCCGGCUAACUUCGUGCCAGCAGCCGCGGUAAUACGAAGGGGGCUAGCGUUGUUCGGAUUUACUGGGCGUAAAGGGCGCGUAGGCGGUCGGCAAAGUGAAGGGUGAAAUCCUCGGGCCCAACCCGAGAACCGCCCCUCAAACUCGCCGACUCGAGUCCGGAAAAUGACGGCGGAACUCCCAGUGGAGAGGUGGAAUUCGUAGAGAUUGGGAAGAACACCAGUAGCGAAAGCGGCCGCCAGGUCCGAGACUGACGCUGAGGCGCGAAAGCGUGGGUAGCAAACAGGAUUAGAUACCCUGGUAGUCCACGCCGUAAACGAUGUGUGCCAGCUGUCGGGACGCCUCGCGUCUCGGCGGCGCAGCUAACGCCUUGAGCACAC
rnacentral:rRNA from 1 species